rnacentral:rRNA from 1 species
UACAGAGGGGGCAAGCGUUGUUCGGAAUUACUGGGCGUAAAGGGCGCGUAGGCGCCUUCUAAGUCGAACGUGAAAUCCCCGGGCUCAACCCGGGAACUGCGUCCGAUACUGGAAGGCUUGAAUCCGGGAGAGGGAUGCGGAAUUCCAGGUGUAGCGGUGAAAUGCGUAGAUAUCUGGAGGAACACCGGUGGCGAAGGCGGCAUCCUGGACCGGCAUUGACGCUGAGGCGCGAAAGCCAGGGGAGCAAAGCGGGG